GAGUAAGUCUCAAUUGUCAAUAUUCAAUAGAACUAACACAAUUUAUUAAGUAAAGUAAACUGACUACUAAGUAUCAUAGUAUACUUUGAACCGUUGAAAAGUAAAUACACACACACACAUUCAAAGUUCAAUUAUGAUUCAUUAAUAAAAUAGAAUUAUUCCAAACAUCAUCUUAAGAAAAUAUCAUUUAUUGAAUGAUAAUGAAAUAAUUACAUUUUGAUAUAAAAUUUCUAUUGUGUAUCGACAGGUCUGUGAUGCUCUUAGAUGUCCGGAGUUACAUGUGUGUUAUAAUAAUGGUGUUAGCGAGUUUGGAAACCUGAUCAGAAAGGGUUGGACAAACUGUUUCAUCACCAUUGUGACUAAGAUCGAGGCUUGUAAUUAUUCCUCGUGAAAGAGGAAUUUCUUGGUAAGUGGAAAUCAUAAGCUUACACUGAUUACGUCCUUUGGUUUUGUGCAUACCGCCCAUCGCUAUUAUUGAUUGGAUGGUUUAGUGAGGUUGUUGGAGUGAAUUUGCCGCCCGAUCGAUACUGAGAAGAUGACCUAAUUCGACUGUUUAGAUGAAGUAAAAGUCGUAACAAGGUUUCCGUAUGUGAACCUGCGAAUGGAUUAUUA
rnacentral:ncRNA from 1 species